UACAGAGGGGGCAAGCGUUGUUCGGAAUUACUGGGCGUAAAGGGCGCGUAGGCGGCCAUCUAAGUCAGACGUGAAAUCCCCCGGCUUAACCUGGGAACUGCGUCUGAUACUGGAAGGCUCGAGUUUGGGAGAGGGAUGUGGAAUUCCAGGUGUAGCGGUGAAAUGCGUAGAUAUCUGGAGGAACACCGGUGGCGAAGGCGGCAUCCUGGACCAACACUGACGCUGAGGCGCGAAAGCUAGGGGAGCAAACGGG
rnacentral:rRNA from 1 species